rnacentral:rRNA from 1 species
GGCGUGCUUAACACAUGCAAGUCGAGCGGAAAGGCUCCUUCGGGGGUACUCGAGCGGCGAACGGGUGAGUAACACGUGAGUAAUCUGCCCUUGGCUUCGGGAUAGCCACCGGAAACGGUGAUUAAUACCGGAUACGACACAUCACUGCAUGGUGCGUGUGUGGAAAGUUUUUUCGGCCAGGGAUGUGCUCGCGGCCUACCAGCUUGUUGGUGGGGUAAUGGCCUACCAAGGCUUCGACGGGUAGCCGGCCUGAGAGGGUGACCGGCCACACUGGGACUGAGACACGGCCCAGACUCCUACGGGAGGCAGCAGUGGGGAAUAUUGGACAAUGGGCGGAAGCCUGAUCCAGCAACGCCGCGUGAGGGAUGACGGCCUUCGGGUUGUAAACCUCUUUCAGCACAGACGAAGCGCAAGUGACGGUAUGUGCAGAAGAAGGACCGGCCAACUACGUGCCAGCAGCCGCGGUAAUACGUAGGGUCCGAGCGUUGUCCGGAAUUAUUGGGCGUAAAGGGCUCGUAGGCGGUUUGUCGCGUCGGGAGUGAAAACACCGGGCUUAACUCGGUGCUUGCUUUCGAUACGGGCAGACUAGAGGCAUUCAGGGGAGAACGGAAUUCCUGGUGUAGCGGUGAAAUGCGCAGAUAUCAGGAGGAA